GACGAACACUGGCGGCGUGCCUAAUACAUGCAAGUAGAACGCUGAAGAGAGGAGCUUGCUCUUCUAGGAUGAGUUGCGAACGGGUGAGUAACGCGUAGGUAACCUGCCUUGUAGCGGGGGAUAACUAUUGGAAACGAUAGCUAAUACCGCAUAACAAUGGAUGACUCAUGUCAUUUAUUUGAAAGGGGCAAAUGCUCCACUACAAGAUGGACCUGCGUUGUAUUAGCUAGUAGGUGAGGUAACGGCUCACCUAGGCGACGAUACAUAGCCGACCUGAGAGGGUGAUCGGCCACACUGGGACUGAGACACGGCCCAGACUCCUACGGGAGGCAGCAGUAGGGAAUCUUCGGCAAUGGGGGCAACCCUGACCGAGCAACGCCGCGUGAGUGAAGAAGGUUUUCGGAUCGUAAAGCUCUGUUGUAAGUCAAGAACGAGUGUGAGAGUGGAAAGUUCACACUGUGACGGUAGCUUACCAGAAAGGGACGGCUAACUACGUGCCAGCAGCCGCGGCAAUACGUAGGUCCCGAGCGUUGUCCGGAUUUAUUGGGCGUAAAGCGAGCGCAGGCGGUUUGAUAAGUCUGAAGUUAAAGGCUGUGGCUCAACCAUAGUUCGCUUUGGAAACUGUCAAACUUGAGUGCAGAAGGGGAGAGUGGAAUUCCAUGUGUAGCGGUGAAAUGCGUAGAUAUAUGGAGGAACACCGGUGGCGAAAGCGGCUCUCUGGUCUGUAACUGACGCUGAGGCUCGAAAGCGUGGGGAGCGAACAGG
rnacentral:rRNA from 1 species